AUCAGUGUCAUCCUUCUGUAGGCUGCCGAUGUACUCGCUCAGAUAGAAAAGGCCAACAAGAAAAGGCUGGGAAUUGAGUGGGGAAAGGCAGAAGAGGAAAGUUUCAAGGCAAAAAUUGAAGAGAGAUAUGACAGAGAGGGUGAUCCGUAUUACUUUACAUCAAGACUUUGGGAUGACGGUGUAAUUGAUCCAGCAGACAUG